UACGUAGGGUGCGAGCGUUGUCCGGAAUUACUGGGCGUAAAGAGCUCGUAGGUGGUUUGUCGCGUUGUUCGUGAAAACCUGAGGCUUAACCUUGGGCGUGCGGGCGAUACGGGCAGGACUGGAGUACUGCAGGGGAGACUGGAAUUCCUGGUGUAGCGGUGGAAUGCGCAGAUAUCAGGAGGAACACCGGUGGCGAAGGCGGCAUCCUGGACCGGCAUUGACGCUGAACAGCGAAAGCUAGGGGAGCAAACGGG
rnacentral:rRNA from 1 species